rnacentral:tRNA from 1 species
GGGCGCAUAGCUCAGCUGGGAGAGCACUUGCCUUACAAGCAAGGGGUCACAGGUUCGAGUCCUGUUGUGCCCA